rnacentral:rRNA from 1 species
GAUGAACGCUGGCGGCGUGCCUCAAACAUGCAAGUCGAGCGGGGCUAUGUAAUAUCGCAAGGUAGAACAUAGCCUAGCGGCGAACGGGUGAGUAACACGUGGGUAACCUGCCUGGAAGACAGGGAUAACGAUUCGAAAGGGUCGCUAAUACCUGAUAAUAUCCUUUCAUCGCAUGGUGAUAGGAAGAAAGGGGAAACCCGCUUUCAGAUGGGCCCGCGUCCCAUCAGCUAGUUGGUAAGGUAAAGGCUUACCAAGGCGACGACGGGUAGCCGGUCUGAGAGGAUGUACGGCCACACUGGGACUGAGAUACGGCCCAGACUCCUACGGGAGGCAGCAGUUGGGAAUCUUAGGCAAUGGACGAAAGUCUGACCUAGCGACGCCGCGUGAGGGAAGAAGGCCUUCGGGUUGUAAACCUCUGUCAUGGGGGAAAAGUAAGUGACGGUACCCCAAGAGGAAGCCCCUGCUAACUACGUAG